AUUGAACGCUGGCGGCAGGCCUAACACAUGCAAGUCGAACGAGUGGCGGACGGGUGAGUAAUGUCUGGGAAACUGCCUGAUUGAGGGGGAUAACUCCUUGAAACGGUAGCUAAUACCGCAUACCCUCGGAUGUGCCCAGAUGGGAGUAGCUAGGAGGUGGGGUAAAGGCUCACCUAGGCGACGAUCCCUAGCUGGUCUGAGAGGAUGACCAGCAAAACUGGAACGGAGACACGGUCCAGACUCCUACGGGAGGCAGAAGUGGGGAAUAUUGCACAAGGGGCGCAAGCCUGAGGUAGCCAUGCCGCGUGUAGGAAGAAGGCCUUCGGGUUGUAAAGUACUUGCAGCGGGGAGGCGUGACCCGCAGAAGAAGCACCGGCUAACUCCGUGCCAGCAGCCGCGGUAAUUC
rnacentral:rRNA from 1 species